AUUCAGGUAUGAACAAUAACAUACAUUUCCGUCUGUAAAUACAAAUAUUAAUUGAAGGUGUAAUUCCUACUGGAAAGGAAAUAAAAAACAACAUAGAAGAUACGGCUUUAGGGGUUUGUUGUUAGUUACCAAACAAUGUAACCAUGCGAAAUGAAGUUUUCCAGCUGACAAUGGUUUUAUUUUGGCCAAUGAAAAUGCUUUAUGUCCCAAUUAUCUCUCUCUCUUCCACCCAAAAUGUGCACUUGUUCACCUCCCUUUACUGAUUUGAAAGGAAAUGACUGGUAUAUUAAAUAUGGCUAAAACUCUACCUAGCCCCUACUAGCCGAAUGUUUUUAGAUUUGUGGGAAGUGGUGAAUGAGUGCACACUUCAGCAGAAAUGAGAUGUUAUUGGGAUGCAUGAAGAAUAUGAAGAAUGCAAUGAAGAAUAUCCCUUAAUUGUAAUGCUGAAAUCAGUUUAGUUAACCCUGUGUUGGUGUUUCUGUCAGGGUGGAUGUCAACGGUGACCCAACUCAACGCCCUUGGUGGUCCAGAGUCAGAGAGUCGGAAAAUUGUUCAGAGCUUUGCAGAGGUACUUGGUGACAAGUACCACUACGAGAAUGCCAUCGACAGCUCUCUGCUCUGGACUGUUGGGUACACCCCCUACAUUCCCCCAGCUCUGAAAGGAAGAAGCUUCCCUUCUGUCGAGAGCUUCUUCCUGGAUGAGUGGGAGCCACUGACACUCCUGCAGACUUCUCAGGUUCUGUACACCAGUGUUUCAAUCGAGGAAGAGAACCGGAUCCAGUCUGCUGCAGGCCUAGUGUCUCAGCUUCAGUCUACCAGUGUUACCAUCGUGGAGAAUGACCUGAUCCAGUCUGCUGCAGGCCUAGUGUCUCAGGUUCUGUCCACCAGUGUUACCAUCAUGGAGAAUGACCUGAUCCAGUCUGCUGCAGUCCUAGUGUCUCAGGUUCUGUCUACCAGUGUUACCAUCGAGGAAGACAACCUGAUCCAGUCUGCUGCAGUCCUAGUGUCUCAGGUUCUGUCCACCAGUGUUGCCAUCGUGGAGAAUGACCUGAUCCAGUCUGCUGCAGGCCUAGUGUCUCAGGUUCUGUCCACCAGUGUUUCCAUCGUGGAGAAUGACCUGAUCCAGUCUGCUGCAGGCCUAGUGUCUCAGAUUCUGUCCACCAGUGUUUCCAUCGUGGAGAAUGACCUGAUCCAGUCUGCUGCAGGCCUAGUGUCUCAGGUUCUGUCCACCAGUGUUUCCAUCGUGGAGAAUGACCUGAUCCAGUCUGCUGUAGGCCUAGUGUCUCAGAUUCUGUCCACCAGUGUUUCCAUCGUGGAGAAUGACCUGAUCCAGUCUGCUGCAGGCCUAGUGUCUCAGGUUCUGUCUACCAGUGUUUCCAUCGUGGAGAAUGACCUGAUCCAGUCUGCUGCAGUCCUAGUGUCUCAAGUUCUGUCCACCAGUGUUUCCAUCGUGGAGAAUGACCUGAUCCAGUCUGCUGCAGGCCUAGUGUCUCAGGUUCUGUCCACCAGUGUUUCCAUCGUGGAGAAUGACCUGAUCCAGUCUGCUGCAGUCCUAGUGUCUCAGGUUCUGUCUACCAGUGUUUCCAUCGUGGAGAAUGACCUGAUCCAGUCUGCUGCAGUCCUAGUGUCUCAAGUUCUGUCCACCAGUGUUUCCAUCGUGGAGAAUGACCUGAUCCAGUCUGCUGCAGGCCUAGUGUCUCAGGUUCUGUCCACCAGUGUUUCCAUCGUGGAGAAUGACCUGAUCCAGUCUGCUGCAGGCCUAGUGUCUCAGGUUCUGUCCACCAGUGUUUCCAUCGUGGAGAAUGACCUGAUCCAGUCUGCUGCAGGCCUAGUGUCUCAGGUUCUGUCCACCAGUGUUUCCAUCGUGGAGAAUGACCUGAUCCAGUCUGCUGCAGUCCUAGUGUCUCAGGUUCUGUCUACCAGUGUUACCAUCGAGGAAGACAACCUGAUCCAGUCUGCUGCAGUCCUAGUGUCUCAGGUUCUGUCCACCAGUGUUUCCAUCGUGGAGAAUGACCUGAUCCAGUCUGCUGCAGGCCUAGUGUCUCAGGUUCUGUCCACCAGUGUUACCAUCGUGGAGAAUGACCUGAUCCAGUCUGCUGCAGGCCUAGUGUCUCAGGUUCUGUCCACCAGUGUUUCCAUCGAGGAAGACAACCUGAUCCAGUCUGCUGCAGGCCUAGUGUCUCAAGUUCUGUCCAGCAGUGACGCUAGAGUGAAGGAUCGUGAUGAUUCCACACUGAGAGACUCCAACCAACCUGAGGUCCAUGUGGCUGAUGUCUCAACCAAGAGAAGUAGACUAGUCAUCACUAUUUCUAUGUUUUCAACCGAGAGUUGCAAUGCUUCGGUCCAUGAGGUUGAUGCUAUUGCUACCAGCCUGGAGCACUCUGCUGAGAAAAUGUCUACCUCUACCGCUGAUGGCCACAUUGUUUCAUCCACUGCUGUAGCCAAUCAGAAGGAAACAAGGGGCGGAUUCGUCUCAUCUCUACGGAGACUGUUCACAAGAAAGAACAGGAUGCCUGCUAAAGUGGCUUCCAAGAAGGAGCACAUUCACUUGGUUGACCGCCUCAAUGCUGAAGUCACCCACUGAGGGCACUCACUCACUGCUGAAGGCAUCCAGAAUGAUGCUUCUGUUUCUCCUCAACGCCACCUACACCCCUGCCCCUCUCCCCCACACCAAACCCUACCAGGGUUGGGGUGAAUUCCAGAUAUAUUCAGUCAAUUCAGCAAGUCAACUAAAAUUCCAAUUCCAAUUGUUUCUCAUAGGAGGCAAUGAGGUAAAUUUGAAUUGCUAUUGGAAUUUCAGUUUACUUACUGAAUUGACUGAAUUGAAAAUGAAUUGACCCCAACCCUGAUCCCUAAGCCCCCACCCCAUCCAUUUCUAUCUUCAGUAAACUUUGUAGAAUUUUAUUUGAAUGUGUUUUGGAUCUUCAUUAAAACCCACAAUACAUCUCUAAUGAGGGUCACUCAUGUUACACAUCUAGAUUUAUCAUCAAAUAUCGUAGAAUUCAACAACAAAUGCAGUGGUUUAGCAGUUCAACUUCAGUACUUGUCAAUGAGUAACUGCACUGUGACCUUCAGAAACAUGUAACAUUGUGGAAAAACUGAAAACUUUUGCUGACAUUUGGUUACAAUGUAACUACACUGAACAAAAAUAUUAGCGCAACAUGUAAAGUAUUGGUCCCAUGUUUCAUGAGCUGAAAUAAAAUCCCAGAAGUGUUCCAUAUGUACAAAAAGGUUAUUUCUCUCAAAUGUUGUGUUUACAUCCCUGUUAGUGAGCAUUUCUCCUUGGCCAAGAUAAUCCAUCCACCUGCCAGGUGUGGCAUAUCAAGAAGCUGAUUAAACUGCAUGAUCAUUACACAGGUGCAUCUUGUACUGGGGAAAAGAAGAGGCCACUUUAAAAUGAGCAGUUUUGUCACACAACACAAUGCCACAGAUGUCAGAAGUUUUGAGGGAGCGUGCAAUUGGCAUGCUGACUGCGGAAAUGUUCACCAGAGCCAUUACUAGAGAAGUCAAUGUUAAUUUCUUUACCAUAAACUUUCCAAUGUCGUUUUAGCGAAUUUGGCAGACCACACCAGGGUCUGAGGAGUAUUUCUGUCUGUAAUAAAGCCCGUUUGUAGGGAAAAACUCAUUCUGAUUAGCUGGGCCUAGCUCCCCAGUGGGUGGGUCUGGCUGCCAGGUGGGUGGGCCUAUGCCAUCCAAGGCCCUCCCAUGGCAGCACCCCUGCCCAGGACCUAAUUAAUUUAUUUCAAUUGUUUGAUUUCCUUAUGUGAACUGCACCUCAGUCAAGUCUUUCAAAUUGUUGCAUGUUGCGUUUAUAUUUUUGUCUGCACAUUUUCUUGAGAAUGACAUGCGUUCUCACUCAUUACUUCUAGAAUCAGAAAUGAAAACCGACUCAACGUAAUAUAUUAAAGGAAUGAAAAGGGCUUUAUUCAACGGUGGCUCCUGAAGUCCCUGCACACAUUUACAUUUACAAGGUUCCAUCUUCACUGAGGACAGUCUCAGUAUCGGAUUUUAGCAGAGACAAUGAAGCAGAGACAAUGAAAAGCAAACAAAUUAACAAACUGAACAAACCAAACAAAAACUCAGUCCCCACAUGAUAUGUGACAUGACACAUGACCCGAAGAACCAUAUUGGUGCGUUUUUCCUAAUCAGAUGAUUACUGAUUGUGUUUGUUAUUAUAAGUUCACUGUAAUGUCCAACGUUCUGAACUAACAUGGUAAUGUAAUGUACAUGUUGUCUACUAGUCUGUAUGUGAUAUCAACACUCUGGACAGAGAGCUAUGGUUUUUCGGUUGAAGGAUUUAUGUGUAUAACUAGAUCUACUGUAUGGGACAACAAAAAGUACAUAUGAAUAGGGAGUUGAAGCAUUUGUAGAUUGACACGGCCUAUUAACAACAAAUUAAAACACAAAUAUCAACACAGACUUAUAUAAAUACUAAUAAAAACAUAAUACUGAAAACUUUUGUCAAACAACAAAGGAAGAUUGUCGAUGUGCUUUUUUGAAAACAACAACUUAUUCCCUAAAAGUACAUUCUAUUUAUAUCUUCAUUUGGACUAAAUAUAAAAAAUCUGUACAUUAGAGAAACAAGUGUAGUAUGUGAAUGUGUCUUUGUAUGUUUUCAGUUCAUCUUAUCAUUAUAUACAGUCUAUAAUCUCAGCCCAGAAACAGAGAUCUUAUAAUACUGUAUAACACAGAGUUAUAAUGACUUGUGAAAAGUGCCUAAAACCAAAACAUCACUACUUCAAAAGCACCUAUAAGAAGAAGAACAGUUAUUGCAUCAACACAAUAGGAAAUAAUUAUGUUUGCAUCUCUUUUAAACAAUGUUGGUACUACAUUGGUAAUGAUUAGUUCUACGUUGGUAAUGGUUGGUACUAUGUUGGUACUGACAUCCACAACUCCCUGUUUCUAUUGCAGAACUCAAUACAGGACCGUAUACAUGCAACUACAAACUGCUUGUCAUCAGCAAUCAGCACGGAGUGAUUUCCACAGUAUUACUCUCACAGUCUUCUUGUCCUCCAUUUUGGCUCUGUACAUUGUCCAUGCGUCCCAGUGCCGUGCCGUUAGUGGACUCCUGACUCAGGGCCGGGAAACGGACGUUACGCUCCAGUUCUGGGUUCAGACAGAGGAAAGUCUGGUUCUUAUCGUUAUUAUUGCUGUUGUUACUAGUAGUGGUGGUGACUACCGACUCGCUAAAGAUAGUGUCUGAGAAGACAGAGUCUAGGUUGAACAAGGUGCCACCGAAGAGGGAUUCCUGGCAGGUGGAUUUGGGCCGAUCGGUGGCUACCUCUGGGUCUCCUGGGGUUUGCUUGGUGGUGGUGGUUGAUUUUCAGUGUCUGGUUCUUCUGUAUUGUUCUGCUUGUUCUGCUGGCUUAUUGCGGUGAUCUCCUUUGAGACAUGACUGAGUCAUGGUAUUGAAAUUGAAACCUGAAACCUGAAAUGUUGUGCUGGCUACAUCAUGUAGAUGCUCUGUUACAUCAUCAGCAGUGAGUGGACAACUCGGGAAAAAUGACUGGCUCCAUACUGCAGCCUCUCUAAUGUUCAUAUAUAUCACAGUACAAUGUUACCUGAACAAAAACUCUACUACACAUGUGUGUGGAGCCUCAGUCAUGUACCAUUGAAUUGGCAGAAAGUAUUGAGCCUUCGUCAAAAAUAAUAGUAUUUUCUGAUUGUUCUUGGUGAAUGUCAGUUUUGUUUGAUAAAUAACAGACAAUAGGACUCAAGCGUAUAUCAAAUUGUCCUUCUGUUUGUCUAACCAUCAUAUAAUGCCUAUAGCCAGAACCGUGUAUUGUAAUAGAAGACUGCCUGUACAGUUCUUUAAAUUCUCUAUUCGUAGCAUCCUUUUCUGAGAGCUCUAUUUCACUCAAUAGUCGAAUAUGGUGAAUUUUUUUUUAUUGUUUUCUGAAUGCUUUGUACACAUGUGCAAGUGUGUGUACAAGGCACUGAACUGGAGAGAUAGGGCAAAAUGACUAUAGGCGCGGGUACGCCUACACUGCCCAGGUGAGGAAAAGUGCAGGGCUGAGGACACUCAUUUCUGUGACAGUGCGCACGUCCUGCGCUUUUACGCACGGUCUCUUUGCAGUAAUGCAUAAACGUUGUU
ensembl:lncRNA